GGGCCUAUAGUAAAGUGGUAUUACGCGUCCAUGGCAUGGAUGAGUCUGGAGUUCAAUUCUCCAUAGGUCCACUA
rnacentral:tRNA from 1 species